UAGGGAUCAUUUCUGGUAAAAAAGGGUAAAACCUUUUUACAAUCUAAACUCUGUGCAAUGGAGCACACGGCUUGUGCAUCGAUGAAGCCCGCGGCAAAAAGCGAUAUGUAAUGAGAUUCGUUAGCCUCGAGAUUCAUCAAAUUGGUGAACACAUACUGGACCUCUUUGAGGUACUUGCGUUAGAGUGCUAGUUUUUUAUCAAUUGAUCUCGGUAAAAGGUGUAUAUAUCGUUAGAUAUUAACGCCCUAGCUGAAGUAGCCGGAUUCUCUUUGAGAAACCGGAUUGUAUUUGACCUUUAGGGGUUGAAUUCAAUCAUUUUUAACUAGCUGGCCUCUAAGUG
rnacentral:rRNA from 1 species